rnacentral:rRNA from 1 species
AUUGAACGCUGGCGGAAUGCCUUACACAUGCAAGUCGAACGGCAGCACGGGUGCUUGCACCUGGUGGCGAGUGGCGAACGGGUGAGUAAUAUAUCGGAACGUAUCCAAUAAUGGGGGAUAACUAAUCGAAAGGUUGGCUAAUACCGCAUACGCCCUACGGGGGAAAGCUAGGGACCUUCGGGCCUGGCGUUAAUGGAGCGGCGGAUAUCUGAUUAGCUAGUUGGUGGGGUAAUGGCCUACCAAGGCGACGAUCAGUAGCUGGUCUGAGAGGACGACCAGCCACACUGGAACUGAGACACGGUCCAGACUCCUACGGGAGGCAGCAGUGGGGAAUUUUGGACAAUGGGGGCAACCCUGAUCCAGCCAUGCCGCGUGAGUGAAGAAGGCCUUCGGGUUGUAAAGCUCUUUCAGCCGGGAAGAGAUCGCAUAGGUUAAUACCCUGUGCGGAUGACGGUACCGGAAUAAGAAGCACCGGCUAACUACGUGCCAGCAGCCGCAGUAACAC